rnacentral:rRNA from 1 species
CCUACGGGUGGCUGCAGUGAGGAAUAUUGGUCCAUGGACGAGAGUCUGAACCAGCCAAGUCGCGUGAAGGAAGACGGCCCUACGGGUUGUAAACCUCUUUUGUCUGGGAGUAAAGCGAGUCACGUGUGACUCAUUGAGUGUACCCUAAGAAUAAGCAUCGGCUAACUCCGUGCCAGCAGCCGCGGUAAUACGGAGGAUGCGAGCGUUCUCCGGAUUUAUUGGGUUUAAAGGGUGCGCAGGCGGAGUGUGAAGUCAGGCGGUAAAUUUCCGGGGUCAACCCCGUACUUGCAGUUGAAACUGGAAGACUUGAGUGCGGGAGAGGUGUGCGGAAUGCGUGGUGUAGCGGUGAAAUGCAUAGAUAUCACGCAGAACUCCGAUUGCGAAGGCAGUAUACCGGAGCGCAACUGACGCUGAUGCACGAAAGCGUGGGUAUCGAACAGGAUUAGAUACCCUAGUAGUC